UGUGAAGAAGGCCUUCGGGUUGUAAAGCACUUUUGUCCGGAAAGAAAACUUCGCCCUUAAUAUCCUUGGAGGAUGACGGUACCGGAAGAAUAAGCACCGGCUAACUACGUGCCAGCAGCCGCGGUAAUACGUAGGGUGCGAGCGUUAAUCGGAAUUACUGGGCGUAAAGCGUGCGCAGGCGGUCUGUUAAGACCGAUGUGAAAUCCCCGGGCUUAACCUGGGAACUGCAUUGGUGACUGGCAGGCUUUGAGUGUGGCAGAGGGAGGUAGAAUUCCACGUGUAGCAGUGAAAUGCGUAGAGAUGUGGAGGAAUACCGAUGGCGAAGGCAGCCUCCUGGGCCAACACUGACGCUCAUGCACGAAAGCGUGGGGAGCAAACAGGAUUAGAUACCCUGGUAGUCCACGCCCUAAACGAUGUCAACUAGUUGUUGGGGAUUCAUUUCCUUAGUAACGUAGCUAACGCGUGAAGUUGACCGCCUGGGGAGUACGGUCGCAAGAUUAAAACUCAAAGGAAUUGACGGGGACCCGCACAAGCGGUGGAUGAUGUGGAUUAAUUCGAUGCAACGCGAAAAACCUUACCUACCCUUGACAUGGUCGGAAUCC
rnacentral:rRNA from 1 species